rnacentral:tRNA from 1 species
UAGUGUAGCGGUUAACACGCCUGCCUGUCACGCAGGAGAUCGCGGGUUCGAUUCCC